rnacentral:rRNA from 1 species
CUACUACCGAUUGAAUGGCUCAGUGAGGCUUUCGGACCGGCCCAGAGAAGAUGUGGCAACACUCACUCAGGGCCUGGAAAGUUGGUCAAACUUGGUCAUUUAGAGGAAGUAAAAGUCGUAACAAGGUU